rnacentral:misc_RNA from 1 species
AUCUUGAGAAGAAUUUAUAUGAGAGCGAUACAAAAAAAUUGCAGGCAAUAUCGUCCAUUCACCGUAACAAUCGAUAUCGUCCAAUCACCACAAAUCCUGUAAGAAAGUUAGAAACCAGCAACCCCCGGAACCCUAAUUUGCACACAGAAAUGUAGAGGGUUCUGGGAUAAGAUGCCUGUAGAGGCUUUUGGGAUAAGAUGCCGAUCUCGUCGGAUCACCACAAAUCAGGUAAGAAAAACAGAAAAAUCGAACGAAAAUAGCACAUGUAGCGGAAAUUGAGACAGAAAUGUUGAUCGCUUA